rnacentral:rRNA from 1 species
CUACGGGGGGCUCCAGUGGGGAAUAUUGCACAAUGGAGGAAACUCUGAUGCAGCAACGCCGCGUGGAGGAUGACACUUUUCGGAGCGUAAACUCCUUUUAUAUAGGAAGAAGAUGACGGUACUAUAUGAAUAAGCGCCGGCUAACUCCGUGCCAGCAGCCGCGGUAAUACGGAGGGCGCAAGCGUUACUCGGAAUCACUGGGCGUAAAGAGCGUGUAGGCGGAUUAAAAAGUCAGAAGUGAAAUCCUAUAGCUUAACUAUAGAACUGCUUCUGAAACGCUUAAUCUAGAAUAUGGGAGAGGGAGAUGGAAUUUCUGGUGUAGGGGUAAAAUCCGUAGAGAUCAGAAGGAAUACCGAUUGCGAAGGCGAUCUACUAGAACAUUAUUGACGCUGAGACGCGAAAGCGUGGGGAGCAAACAGGAUUAGAUACCCGCGUAGUC